rnacentral:rRNA from 1 species
GAUCAUGGGCUCAGGAUGAACGCUAGCUACAGGCUUAACACAUGCAAGUCGAGGGGCAGCAUGACCUAGCAAUAGGUUGAUGGCGACCGGCGCACGGGUGAGUAACACGUAUCCAACCUACCGGUUAUUCCGGGAUAGCCUUUCGAAAGAAAGAUUAAUACCGGAUAGUAUAACGAGAAGGCAUCUUCUUGUUAUUAAAGAAUUUCGAUAACCGAUGGGGAUGCGUUCCAUUAGUUUGUUGGCGGGGUAUCGG